UACGUAGGGUGCAAGCGUUAUCCGGAAUUAUUGGGCGUAAAGAGCUCGUAGGCGGUUUGUCGCGUCUGCUGUGAAAACCGGAGGCUCAACCUCCGGCCUGCAGUGGGUACGGGCAGACUAGAGUGCGGUAGGGGAGAUUGGAAUUCCUGGUGUAGCGGUGGAAUGCGCAGAUAUCAGGAGGAACACCAAUGGCGAAGGCAGAUCUCUGGGCCGUAACUGACGCUGAGGAACGAAAGCUAGGGGAGCGAAUGGU
rnacentral:rRNA from 1 species